GCCCUCAUGGCUCAGUGGUUGAGCGUCGACCUAUGAACCAGGAGGUCACGGUUUGAUUCCCGUUCAGGGCA
rnacentral:tRNA from 1 species